AAGGGUAUAGCUUAGUGGUAGAGUGUGUGCUUAGCAUGCAUGAGGUCCUGGGUUCAAUCCCCAGUACCUCCA
rnacentral:tRNA from 1 species